UACGAAGGGGGGCUAGCGUUGCUCGGAAUCACUGGGCGUAAAGGGUGCGUAGGCGGGUCUUUUAAGUCAGGGGUGAAAUCCUGGAGCUCGAACUCCAGAACUGCCCUUGAUACUGAAGAUCUUGAGUUCGGGAGAGGUGAGUGGAACUGCGAGUGUAGAGGUGAAAUUCGUAGAUAUUCGCAAGAACACCAGUGGCGAAGGCGGCUCACUGGCC
rnacentral:rRNA from 1 species